UUUCCGUAGGUGAACCUGCGGAAGGAUCAUUAAUGUGUUUGGGCCUCACGGCUCUUCAUUCCGACGCUGUGCGCCUUCGGGCUGCACGCUGAGGGAGCAUAUAUCCACCCCUGUGCACACACACGGUGGCGAGCUGGGUAACGGCUCGCCGCUGAUCUUUACACACGUCUAAGAGUCAUUGUAUGUUUAUUUGAGAUAAAAACACAACUUUCAGCAACGGAUCUCUUGGCUCUC
rnacentral:misc_RNA from 1 species